AAAAAUAUAGAAUGAUAACUUAAGAGGGAACUAAGGAUUCAAGAUGAAGGUCAAUCCAAGGUACCUUACUCAGCAGGUAUGCCGUCCAAGUCAAAACUGAACCUGUGGUUUCAUGCCCAGCAACUAGCAUUGACAGAAGAUCAUCUCGAAGUUGUAAACUUGAAACCUCCUCACGGCUAGCAAGCAAAAAUCGAAGGAUGCUUGGAUCUCUAUCAUUCACGUACUCAUCUUCAUUAAUCCUCUCACCCUCAGUUUCUACAAUCUCUCUGCACUUCGCAAUAAGUUCUUCAACUGUUU
rnacentral:misc_RNA from 1 species